UUAUACAGAGAAACCGCUGUCGAGUCUGAUAAAAAAAUUUGGUCUUCUCAUGCUCCACAGCGUUUCUCUGUAUAACC